GAUGAACGCUGGCGGCGUGCCUAAUACAUGCAAGUCGAGCGAACAGACGAGGAGCUUGCUCCUCUGACGUUAGCGGCGGACGGGUGAGUAACACGUGGAUAACCUACCUAUAAGACUGGGAUAACUUCGGGAAACCGGAGCUAAUACCGGAUAAUAUAUUGAACCGCAUGGUUCAAUAGUGAAAGACGGUUUUGCUGUCACUUAUAGAUGGAUCCGCACCGCAUUAGCUAGUUGGUAAGGUAACGGCUUACCAAGGCAACGAUGCGUAGCCGACCUGAGAGGGUGAUCGGCCACACUGGAACUGAGACACGGUCCAGACUCCUACGGGAGGCAGCAGUAGGGAAUCUUCCGCAAUGGGCGAAAGCCUGACGGAGCAACGCCGCGUGAGUGAUGAAGGUCUUCGGAUCGUAAAACUCUGUUAUUAGGGAAGAACAAAUGUGUAAGUGACUAUGCACGUCUUGACGGUACCUAAUCAGAAAGCCACGGCUAACUACGUG
rnacentral:rRNA from 1 species